UUUUUUUUAAUGUAUUUUUAUUUCUUAUCUCUCUUUCUUCUUCCCGUAGCCACACAAGAGUUCUUCUCAAGCAUCAAGGGCUUCUGAGCUCUCUCCAAGAUUUCUUCAGGAGAAAUGGCGUAACCAUUCAUAGAGUUGGGUCUUUUCUACUAUUAAGGUAUAUGAAUCUACAUUUGAUUUUGUUUGGGAUUAGGGUUUGUGGUUUGUAAUUUUUUCUGUUCUAUCAAAAUGUCGAAGAGGGUUUUCAUUUUUCUUCUUUUAAAGCUCCUUCAUAUUGUUUUGCUCUGUUUGUUGAAAAUAUGUACUCUUGUAUAAUGCUUAUGUUGCUGUUAUGUUCUUACUGAGAUUGUUCUGUCUAUUCUUGUAUGGAUUUGUAUAACAAUAACACUACAUUGGUUUAGCAUUCGUGACUGGAAUGUUUUGAAUGGAGGAGAGUUAUCUUAGAACUAAUUCCCUCUUUCAAUUUGGGUCUUGGAACAAAACUCCUAGCUGGGACAUAGAUGAUAUGGAAGAGAUGUUAUAUUUAAACAUAAAAAUUUAGUGUUAGUGUCUGUGUGUGUGGAGGAUAUAUAUGUAUAUAUAACAUAUAUAUAUGUGUGUGUGCUAGUAAAAUGAGAUAGAACUUUUUGUAUGUAACUUUACCUUUCCUGAUUUGAAUCUUUAAUUGUUACCUUUCGCUGGGAUUUAAAGAGGAAAAAAGUGGGGGGUUUUCUUUUUUUUUUUUCUCUAUUUUUUUUUUUUGGGUGAUUCAAGCUGGAUUUAGGAUAAUCAUCUUUUUCUCUCGUACCUUUUAUUUUUUUCUUGCAUUGUUUAUCGGAAUUGGGAUUGAGUAUAUGUAACAUGAUCUUCUAUUCAAUUUUUUGAUUCAAACUGGAGAGACUGAGAUCAUGAUCGUGAAGUACUCUAUUCCCCUUUAUGUGAUUGAACGACACAGACAAUAAUGUUCCUUAUGCCUUUAGUACUUUGAAGUCUUUGCUUUUUCACAAAUUGACAGAGGUUUAUAUUUAUAGAACUAAGAAGUAGGAAAGAAAAAAAAACGAAGCAUUUUUUUUUUCUUUUCUAUUCAGAGAGAUCGAUUGCUACAGGUUAUCAUGAUCUUAUUUGUUAAACUCAAACAGUUGUUGGGGUAGACUUGUUUAGAUAUGAUAUGAUGAUGAUGAUGAAAUUGAUGACUCCAGCACUAAAUUUGUUAUUGUCUAGUUGGUUAUUUUGUUAGUUUUAUCAAGGCCAUAUAAAUGUUAUAAGCCUAAAAACGGAAAUGUAUCUGAGGGACUUGAGUAUUCUUUAUUACUACUUGUUAUUUAUCCUACAUCAUUGAUGUUAUGGUGUAUGUGGUAGGGAGCUAGUAAUCUUAUUUUGUAGAAUAUAUAGUUACAAGUGUGUAGCUGUUACUAAUAAAUGAUUAUACUUUAUGCUAUCAUCAAGCAUUUCAAUAUCAUAACAUGUGGAAGAAAAUGAGGCCAUAAUCAGAGAAAUAUUAUUGGUUUACAUAUAUGAUAUGGUGUGGUAGCUCAAUGGUGGGUUGGUUUUGAUUGAUUGAUUUCAUGAGUUAAUUAUGAAAGAACAUGAAAGAAUGAGGAUAAAGCAUGUGAAUCAGUAUCAAUCAAUGAGUAGAAUAGAAUAGAAGAGAUUGGUUAAUUUCCAUUGUCUUUAUCUUUUAAACUAAAGAGAAAAAUAAAUAACUUGUUUAAAUUGAGUUAGAAAACUCUGCCAUAUAUAAUAGCUUAAUAUGAUACCAAAUAGUGAAAAGUUCAACAUGUAUGAGCUUUACAUUAAUAUGCAGUUGUAACGAGGAUACUUUUAGACAAAUGUUUCCUAUCAUCUGAUGAUGAUGAUUUUUAUGCUGGGGUGUUAGACAAUGCAGAUGAUUUGAAGAUGUCUUGAGCAGUUUUUGCUCGAUUUUUGGUUGUGGCUCUUUGUAGGGAGCUACUCUUAGGCAUGGCUUUUUUUUCUAUAUUGUUCUGUUUCUUGUUUGAUUUGUGUUGGUGUUUAGGUAGCUUGGUAGAUCAGCUUGUCAUUUAUAUGGUUGAUUACUUUGUUUUGCUUUAAGGAUAGUAUUAUAUUUGUAUUUAUAAUUCUUAUUGAAUCUUUAUGUCUUACAUAGAUGGCAGAUGUUGUUAAUGAAGUUCUUAUUAUUGAGAAUAAUGAUGAGGCUUUUAUUUGGACUCAAAGACAUGAAGAAAUUUAUAUUGAAAUUAUAGAAGAAGAAGUUUUAAAAGGGAAAUAGGAAUAUCACAACCUUUACAAAGCAAUUGUGGAGACAUAUAAAGGAACAGCUUUGUGCAUGAACAAAGAGAAAUUACACUGAUAUGCAACUAAGGAACAAAUUAAAUCAAUUAAAGUAAAAUUAUAAGGAUUUUAAGUCUUUACUGAAAGAGACUAGUAUGGGAUACAAUGCAAUAGCUGGACAAGUUAGUGCGACUGAGAAGUUUCGAAAUAAACUUAUUCGGAUAAAAAUAUUUAAGAUUGAUUUUAUGCUUGUUUUAUUUUAAUAGGUAUUGAUAGAUUUUAUCAUCAUAAUUUCAUUUCAUGUAGGUUAACAAAUAUGCUAAAAGAUUCAGAAAUAUAGUUUGUAUGUUUUACGAGAAAUUAUGCACUAAUUUUGGUGAUACUAAUGCAUCUGGUUCCAAUG